UGCAAAUCCUCCUAAUAAUGCAUUUUAAGCCUGGAUGCAUUGGUUCACUGAAACUGUAAUUCCACAGCACCCGUAGAGCUGAUGUGGAGCUGGGGAGUUGUUUAACAGACGGCUUCUUUCCGAGCUGACCCCACAGGGAGAAGCUAAUUUUGGAAGAAAUGGUGUUUUCCAUUCGUAUCACAUUGGUCAUUUCUCCUAAUGCCAUGUAUAACCAAGUGCCUCUUCCUCUCCCACCCUGGAGGACCCAAGCUGCUGUCAGCAAUGAAAGGCAGUUAGCAGCUCCCUGGUUGGAGUAGAUGAGCUUGAGAAGAGAGAAAGCUUGAGAAACAAAGAAGCACCUUAGUAACAACAGUGACCAGCAGAAAAUCUCUCUGAAUCAUUAUUGCACCCUUCUCCGCUGAGUCUUCAGCUUAGGGUACAGCUUGUGUCAAGCAGCCAAACAAAAGGUGAGGGUGUGUUAGAAAUGGGACGGAGUAAAUUUCAGCACGGCAUAAAACCAAGGCUUCUCUCUCAUCUGGAAUGCUAUAUGUCACUGCCAAGGGAAUUAAAGGAUGUUCAGAUAAGGAUGACAAGAAUAAUUUGAGACCUGAGGAAAAAAAAAUCUUAUACGGGGAGAGAUUGAAAAGAUAAGUGGUGUUUACGGUAGAAGGGAGCUAAAUAAGAAGGGCUGUGAUAAAAGCUCAUGCUGUCAGGGCCACGGUGAGG
rnacentral:lncRNA from 1 species